rfam:Bombyx mori DNA, contig: Bm_scaf98_contig35642, strain: p50T/Dazao, build 2, whole genome shotgun sequence.
AUUACCGUUGUUUCAAGUAAAUCUCGUGCGGUUUGUCUCAUUCCGAACCGUAUGAGAUUUACUUAAAAUGAUUGUGAU